AUGAGAACGUGCCCUUCGGGGUAGAUCUCCCACCCUGUGUUUACACUACCUUUGUUGCUUUGGCAGGCCCGCCCUCGGGCCGCCGGCUCCGGCUGGCCAGCGUCUGCCAGAGGAUUCAAAACUCUGAUAAUUAUGUCGUCUGAGUACUAUUAUAAAUAGUUA
rnacentral:misc_RNA from 1 species